rnacentral:rRNA from 1 species
CCUACGGGAGGCAGCAGUGAGGAAUAUUGGUCAAUGGACGCAAGUCUGAACCAGCCAUGCCGCGUGCAGGAAGACGGCUCUAUGAGUUGUAAACUGCUUUUGUACGAGGGUAAAUCCCGAUACGUGUAUCCGGUUGAAAGUAUCGUACGAAUAAGGAUCGGCUAACUCCGUGCCAGCAGCCGCGGUAAUACGGAGGAUUCAAGCGUUAUCCGGAUUUAUUGGGUUUAAAGGGUGCGUAGGCGGUGCGAUAAGUUCGAGGUUAAAUCCCGGGGCUCAACUCCGGCACUGCCUCUGAUACUGUCGGGCUAGAGUUUAGUUGAGGUAGGCGGAAUGUAUGGUGUAGCGGUGAAAUGCAUAGAGAUCAUACAGAACACCGAUUGCGAAGGCAGCUUACCAAACUACGACUGACGUUGAGGCACGAAAGCGUGGGGAGCAAACAGGAUUAGAUACCCGGGUAGUC